GUUCGUAUGAUUUGGGAUAAUUUUCGCGUUUGAUCCCUAACUUAUUAUUUUAAUUCGGACCGUCUCUAUAGUUUGAUUUUGUUAUGUUAUUGAUCCCUAACCGACUUAAAAUGAAAGAUAUAUGCUUAUAUAUUAUUUUAAUUGUUUUUUUUUGUUAACUUAUUAAAUAAAAUUAUAAAAGAAUUUUUUUAUUAGAUGUGGGCCCUACAAUACCUAAAGAAUGAAGAGGAAAACUAAACCACUAGACCAACUUCAUCCUCUCACCCUUCAUCCUUCUCCUCUCUCUCCGACGCCACCUCCCCUGUGCCACUGAAAUCGCUGCCGAUGACGAAAACCUUCACACUGUUGUCUGGUGAUUGUGUUUAAGGAAAUAUCUUGCUCACUCCUCCUUCCGAUCAUCUUCACUCUUUUACCCUAAAUCAUGGAACCAUUAUCUGUCGUCCUUCUCCUCUUAACCGGUGACACCCACAACCCACCUCAGUUCCAUGACACUGGAGCCAACAAGAAGAAGCAACCUACUACGCGAGACCCGACAUCCUGUGACCAAAUUAACCAACGAUUUCUGGAUUUUGAUUUCUUCAUCACAGGUUUAAUCUAAGGUUUGAAAUGUCAAACGGAAUCAAUGUCGAAUCAUUCCAGGGUGGAGGAUGGAGAACACUGGAAGCUUCAAGUUAGACACCUCCGAUCCACCAAAAUAAGAAAACUGUGGCGAAAACAUUGGAUGCAGUUGCAUUGAAUUUUUGAGUGAUCUAUGUGGUACUGAAUCUGUGGCCGGGGAUGAUGACCGGAGUUGCUGCCGGGAAUUGGAUCUAUGACCGGAGAUAGUGACCGGAUGUGAUGUGGGGAACAAGAAGAGGAUUAAGGUGGGGCUAGACCGGUGGGUCCCGUUUUCAACAAUAUAUUAAUAGUUUAAAUUAUUUAAAAAUAGUUGAAAUAAUAAAAAAGGAUUAACAAAAUAAAAAUAUAUCAUUAUGCAAAAAAUAGUCAUUAUAAGUCUGCUAGUGACCAAAGACACAACGAAAUCAAACUACACGGAUGGUCCAAAUUAAAAAAAAUAAGUUAGUGACUAACCAUGCAAAUUACUCCAAACUACAAGGACCAUUCGUGUAAUUUUCUUUGAAAAAAAAUAGAGAUUAUAUAUUUUGUGAAAA